UUUUAACUCUCGCCGCCGUGACUGCCGGCGGCAACAGAGGAGGCGGAGGAGAAGAAGGAGGAGACUCGCGCGUGGAGAACAUAGAUUAUCUCUGGUUGCUCGACCAACCCAGGAUGACAGAGGUCAAUCGAGGAGUCUCUGCCUGCCUCCCAAGGUGCCUUGUUUGCCGAAGGGUUGACCCUCUUUCCCGAAGAUCGCGUGAUCAAGGAGUAAAGGUGCGCUUGGGCGACUUGAUUUGGUUCGUUUUAGAUCAAGAUCUAUCAGGGAUCUGCUUUCUUAUUUCCAAGGUCUUGGUUCCUGCUGAGGCGAUUGGUGUUACACCUUAUUUUUCAGGCUCCAGGUUUCCUGGCACAGGAUUAAGACUGGAAAUUGGAUUCUUGUGGGCACAUUUGGAUGUCCUGAAGAUUUAUGUCUGUCUUGAGGUCAUGUGAGGACUCAUAACGAAGACUGUAAUGCAGUGUCUAGAAACUAGCACUGCCACAUAUACAAUCCAAAGUAUGGAUGCGGCGGUAUGUAGACAACAAAUUCAUCAUAAUAAAAAAGGAACUAAAGACACAUGAAACAAUCAACGUCUUCAAAGGAAAAAGAAAAUCACAAGAGAAGAAGAAAACAACAAUAACACACUAUCCUUCCUGAAUAUCCUCAUCAGCAGCGAAAAUGGUAGCAAAUUAAAAAUGCUAAUCUGUUGAAGCACAACCCAUACUAAUCAAGUGCUCCAUUACCAAAACAACAAUCCAACAUUCUUUAAGAGGAGCUGUGUAAGAACAUUAUUUAGACCACAAGAAUCUAAAUACACUGCUGCAAUUCAGAAUAUCAUAAAAAGGAAAUGGUCUUCCUAUACACCUUCCAAAAAAAAUGAAUACACAUGGAACUUUAUUAAAAAAAUGCCUGAUCAUUGAACCAGGGAUGAAAUUUACUUACCUUCGCUACCAAUUUGCUACCUCACGCGUGACAUCUCUGUGCAUGGGACAUGAUGACGUCUGGGUGGGUAGGCAGAGCCUCCUGCUGCCUGGCCCUACCAGUUCACCCGAGCUGGAUAGAACCGGCUCAAUUUCACCACUACACUGAACCCACUGCAGCACAAUCAGCAUGAGCUAUUAAAAGGUUAACACUACCAUACAUCAAAAACAUCUCAGAAAUUACAAGCAUACUAUUACCACAUGUCAUAUCGUAGCAGACAAACCAACUGAAGCCCUCUAGAAGAUCUUAAGUAGAUCAAAAGUUCCAGUAGUCCAAGAAGAAUUGAUUUUAUUUUAAACUGGGAUGUCUUGAAUUAUCUAGGACCAGAGUGUUUAGUAUAUUUUAAUUGGUUUUUUAUUAACGUUUGUAUUAAAUGUAUUUUUAUCAUUCGCUGUUCACCGCCCUGAGUCCCUUAGGAAUAGGGCGGU